CCGCCGCGGUAAUACGGAGGGUGCAAGCGUUAAUCGGAAUUACUGGGCGUAAAGCGUGCGUAGGUGGUGGUUUAAGUCCGUUGUGAAAGCCCUGGGCUCAACCUGGGAAUUGCAGUGGAUACUGGGUCACUAGAGUGUGGUAGAGGAUAGUGGAAUUUCCGGUGUAGCAGUGAAAUGCGUAGAGAUCGGAAGGAACAUCUGUGGCGAAGGCGACUAUCUGGGCCAACACUGACACUGAGGCACGAAAGCGUGGGGAGCAAACAGGAUUAGAUACCCCUGUAGUCCCUGUCUCUUAUACACA
rnacentral:rRNA from 1 species